UACGGGGGGGGGCAAGCGUUGUUCGGAAUUACUGGGCGUAAAGGGUUCGUAGGUGGCCUGCUAAGUCAGACGUGAAAUCCCUCAGCUUAACUGGGGAACUGCGUCUGAUACUGGUGGGCUUGAGUGCAGGAGAGGAACGCGGAAUUCCAGGUGUAGCGGUGAAAUGCGUAGAUAUCUGGAGGAACACCGGUGGCGAAGGCGGCGUUCUGGACUGCAACUGACACUGAGGAACGAAAGCCAGGGGAGCAAACGGG
rnacentral:rRNA from 1 species